rnacentral:rRNA from 1 species
AUUGAACGCUGGCGGCAGGCCUAACACAUGCAAGUCGAGCGGAUGAAGGGUGCUUGCUCCUGGAUUCAGCGGCGGACGGGUGUGUAAUGCCUAUGAAUCUGCCUGGUAGUGGGGGAUAACGUCCUGAAACGGGCGCCAAUACCGCAUACGUCCUGAGGGAGAAAGUGGGGGAUCUUCGGACCUCACGCUAUCAGAUGAGCCUAGGUCGGAUUAGCUAGUUGGUGGGGUAAGGGCCUACCAAGGCGACGAUCCGUAACUGGUCUGAGAGGAUGAUCAGUCACACUGGAACUGAGCCACGGUCCAGACUCCUACGGGAGGCAGCAGUGGGGAAUAUUGGACAAUGGGCGAAAGCCUGAUCCAGCCAGGCCGCGUGUGUGAAGAAGGUCUUCGGAUUGUAAAGCACGUUAAGUUGGGAGGAAGGGCAGUAAGUUAAUACCUUGCUGUUUUGACGGUAACAACAGAAUAAGCACCGGCUAACUUCGUG